UACGAAGGGGGCGAGCGUUGUUCGGAUUUACUGGGCGUAAAGGGCGCGCAGGCGGCUAUCCAAGUCAGGCGUGAAAGCCCCGGGCUUAACCUGGGAGGUGCGUCUGGGACUGGGUGGCUAGAGUUCGGGACAGGAGAGUGGAAUUCCCAGUGUAGAGGUGAAAUUCGUAGAUAUUGGGAAGAACACCGGUGGCGAAGGCGGCUCUCUGGACCGAGACUGACGCUGAGGCGCGAAAGCGUGGGGAGCAAACAGG
rnacentral:rRNA from 1 species